rnacentral:rRNA from 1 species
AUUGAACGCUGGCGGCAUGCUUUACACAUGCAAGUCGAACGGUAACAGGUUAAGCUGACGAGUGGCGAACGGGUGAGUAAUGCAUCGGAACGUGCCCGGUCGUGGGGGAUAACACUUCGAAAGAAGUGCUAAUACCGCAUACGAUCUGAGGAUGAAAGCGGGGGACCGUAAGGCCUCGCGCGAUCGGAGCGGCCGAUGUCAGAUUAGGUAGUUGGUGGGGUAAAGGCUCACCAAGCCGACGAUCUGUAGCUGGUCUGAGAGGACGACCAGCCACACUGGGACUGAGACACGGCCCAGACUCCUACGGGAGGCAGCAGUGGGGAAUUUUGGACAAUGGGCGCAAGCCUGAUCCAGCAAUGCCGCGUGCAGGAAGAAGGCCUUCGGGUUGUAAACUGCUUUUGUACGGAGCGAAAAGGCUCUCUCUAAUACAGGGGGCUCAUGACGGUACCGUAAGAAUAAGCACCGGCUAACUACGUGCCAGCCGCCGCCGUAAGAC